AAGCAUAUCAAUAAGCGGAGGAAAAGAAACCAACAGGGAUUGCCCCAGUAACGGCGAGUGAAGCGGCAACAGCUCAAAUUUGAAAUCUGGCCCCAGGCCCGAGUUGUAAUUUGCAGAGGAUGCUUUUGGCGCGGUGCCUUCCGAGUUCCCUGGAACGGGACGCCAUAGAGGGUGAGAGCCCCGUACGGUUGGACACCAAGCCUUUGUAAAGCUCCUUCGACGAGUCGAGUAGUUUGGGAAUGCUGCUCUAAAUGGGAGGUACAUUUCUUCUAAAGCUAAAUAUUGGCCAGAGACCGAUAGCGCACAAGUAGAGUGAUCGAAAGAUGAAAAGCACUUUGAAAAGAGGGUUAAACAGCACGUGAAAUUGUUAAAAGGGAAGCGCUUGUGACCAGACUUGCGUCCGGUGAAUCACCCAGCUCUCGCGGCUGGGGCACUUCGCCGGCACAGGCCAGCAUCAGCUUGCCGUCGGGGACAAAAGCUUCAGGAACGUGGCUCCUCUCGGGGAGUGUUAUAGCCUGUUGCAUAAUACCCUUCGGCGGGCUGAGGUACGCGCUCCGCAAGGAUGCUGGCGUAAUGGUCAUCAGCGACCCGUCUUGAAAACACG
rnacentral:rRNA from 1 species